rnacentral:rRNA from 1 species
AUACGGAGGUUGCGAGCGUUGUUCGGAAUAACUGGGCGUAAAGGGAGCGCAGGCGGUUGGGCAAGUCUAAAGUGAAAGCCCGGGGCUCAACUCCGGAAGUGCUUUAGAUACUGCCUUACUCGAGUUCGUGAGAGGAAAGCGGAAUUCCAGGUGUAGCGGUGAAAUGCGUAGAUAUCUGGAGGAACACCGGUGGCGAAAGCGGCUUUCUGGCACGAUACUGACGCUGAGGCUCGAAAGCGUGGGGAGCAAACAGGAUUAGAUACCCUGGUAGUCCACGCUGUAACCGUUGUGCACUAGGUGUGGGAGGUAUCGACCCCUUCCGUGCCGCAGCUAACGCAUUAAGUGCACCGCCUGGUGAGUACGGUCGCAAGACUGAA